rnacentral:lncRNA from 1 species
UCUUUUACUCUUUCAAAUUUAUUAUUAUUAUUAUUAUUUGAAUAUUAAAGUUUCACUUUAAUAUUUUUCUUUAAUAUUUAAUAUUAAAUAAAAUAUAUCUAAUUUUUCAAAUAUGUUUCAUUUCUAUCCUAAUAAAUUUCAUUUUAGCCCUUAAAAUUUUAAUUUGAUCCGUCCAUAUUUUUCAUUAUACAAAUCUCUCGCAAAUCGCACAAUUUAAAUUUAUUAUACAUGUAUUAAAUUUUUAUUCUAAUCCUUGACAAUUUCAGCUAACUCCUCUUCUUUCAUUCAAAAUUUUCAUCUUAAUCCAAAAGAAUUCCAAUUUCUUUAUUUUAGUCUAAAGUACUAUUUUAACAUGCAAAUUUUUAAGUCCAAGUAAUUUUCAUAAUUUUCAUUAUUAAAUCUUAUCUAAAACUUGAAAUUUGACAUAUAUAAAUGAUAAAAUUUUAUUUUAGUCUUUGUCUUGAAUUUUGGCCAAAUUACAUAUUGAUAUUAAAAUUUCCAUUUUAUCAUUUUCUUCAUUUAUUCUAACUUUAAAUAUUCACUAUAAUUCAAGUACUUGAUUCAAUUUCUCUAAUAUAAUACAAAUUCAAAUUAAAUAUAAUUGAAAAAAUUGAGGAUUAUUUAAGAAGAAUUGAGCACAAACCUUUUUUUUUUUAUUCAAAAUCUCUUACCCUUUCGUCUCUUCUUUUUCCUUUUUAAGCACUCCUUUCUUUUCCCUUCAAAUUUUCAAAUUCUUCUCAACUAGAUUAUCAUGAAUCACAAGAAAGUAAACCAAAUAAAUCUAAUUUCUCCCUUAAUAAUUCUUGUAAAUAUGAUAGUAAACCUUUAUAAAUUAAAAUUUCCAACAUACCUUUAAAAUUCCUACACUUGGUCACUAUUCCCUCUUUCUCCAACCUUGAAAUUUCUCGUCAAUUCCUACUUAUUUCUUUAAUAUUUACUUAGGAAAGAGCUUGGAUGAAGUGAUGAAUUAAUUUUUGGGUAGCAAGAAGCAAAUUUGGUGUGAAGGUGGUGGAGAGUAGUUGAGAAUUUUCUCCUUUCUACGGCAAGGAGAAAGGAAGAAGAUGAAAAUGGGGAUGGGUUGUUCUAGAUUCUUCUCUCACUUCACUUUUCUUUUUUUUUUUUUUUUUUAUUUGAAAUGGUUAAAAAUAGACCAAG